rnacentral:rRNA from 1 species
GGAUUAGAUACCCUGGUAGUCCACGCCGUAAACGAUGAUUACUCGUUGUUGGCAAUACAUCGUCAGCGACUGAGCGAAAGCAUUAAGUAAUCCACCUGGGGAGUACGUUCGCAAGAAUGAAACUCAAAGGAAUUGACGGGGGCCCGCACAAGCGGAGGAACAUGUGGUUUAAUUCGAUGAUACGCGAGGAACCUUACCUGGGCUUAAAUGCAUAACGACAGACCGGGAAACUGGUCUUUCUUCGGACGGAAUGCAAGGUGCUGCAUGGUUGUCGUCAGCUCGUGCUG